rnacentral:rRNA from 1 species
AUUGAACGCUGGCGGCAGGCUUAACACAUGCAAGUCGAGCGAGCGGCGGACGGGUGAGUAAUGUCUGGGAAACUGCCUGAUGGAGGGGGAUAACUACUGGAAACGGUAGCUAAUACCGCAUACAAUAAGAUGUGCCCAGAUGGGAUUAGCUAGUUGGUGGGGUAACGUCUCACCUAGGCGGCGAUCCCUAGCUGGUCUGAGAGGAUGACCAUCCACACUGGAACGUGGACACGGUCCAGACUCCUACGUGAGGCAGCAGUGGGGAAUAUUGCACAAUGGGCGCAAGCCUGAUGCAGCCAUGCCGCGUGUAUGAAGAAGGCCUUCGGGUUGUAAAGCACUUUCAUCGGAGAGGCGUUACCCGCAGAAGAAGCACCGGCUAACUCCGUGCCAGCAGCCGCGGUAAUAC